GAUGAACGCUGGCGGCGUGCUUAACACAUGCAAGUCGAACGGAAAGGCCCAAGCUUGCUUGGGUACUCGAGUGGCGAACGGGUGAGUAACACGUGGGUGAUCUGCCCUGCACUUCGGGAUAAGCCUGGGAAACUGGGUCUAAUACCGGAUAGGACGAUGUGUUGGAUGCCAUUGUGGAAAGUUUUUUCGGUGUGGGAUGUGGUCGCGGCGUAUCAGCUUGUUGGGGGGGUGAUGGCAUACCAAGGCGUCGACGGGGAUACGGCCUGAGAGGGUGUGCGGCCACAUUGGGGCUGAGAGACGGCCCAGACACCUACGGGAGGCAGAAGUGGGGGAUAUUGCGCAAUGGGCGCAAGACUGAGGCAGCGACGCCGCGUGGGGGAUGACGGCCUUCGGGUUGUAAACUCCUUUCGCUAGGGACGAAGAGUUUUUGUGACGGUACCUGGAGAAGAAGCACCGGCUAACUACGUG
rnacentral:rRNA from 1 species